CGAGAACCCAUCGCGGACUUUAAAUCGGUAUGAAUCAGGUUAAAAUCGCAACAAAUAAAUCUAUAGCCGGCUAGUCACCGCAUAAAUCUUAAAACCGAAAGUAAACCUAGGUCUUGCCCUAAACCCAGCGCACUGGUCUCUAACAUCUCAAGGCAUGAUAUCAAAAAGAUACGAGAUCCUAAAACAUGCAUCUGUGUUUAUAUUCAACGUCUCCAGAUAUCCCGCGAAAUCAGGAUCUCGCGGAAAAACUCUCGAAAUAGAUUUCGAACAAAGCAUUUCA
rnacentral:lncRNA from 1 species